rnacentral:lncRNA from 1 species
UCCACAUUUCACUAUCAAUUCCAUUAUUUUGAUAUUACAUUAAUAUUUUGUUAAAUUAAAGGAAAUACGUACUACUUAGCAUAAAAAAAAAGUUUUUCAAUUAUUUAUUUGUUAGGAAAAAAAUACGUAUACACAUCACAUCUCAUCCUCUCUUCUCUCUCGUUUCAGUCACAAUAUACUCACCCGACAAAGCAUGUUCGUUUCACCCGGUCAAGCUUCUUUCUCCUUUCUCUCUCCGGCACGCAUUUUCGUUUGUGAUUCUCGAGCUUUCUAGGUUUUUCAUUUUCCGAGAUUUUGGUCGGUUAUGGUGAUUAAUAAGCUGAAGAGCAGAUGAAACAUCGCCAUAAGCUGUAUCCGACGGUGACAUUACCGACCUCAGACUCGGCGACGAUUCUGCUUACUAAUUCUAGAGAUCUCAGGGAUAGACAAAGUGCUACUACGUCACUACACACAGAGCAAAGAACCGAACUUGACACGUCCGUAUAGAUUCAAGUUCCUAAAACUUAUUGCUUUCAAGUCGGUGCGGCGAGCAGAAGGAAGGAGGUUGCCAUUCCUGGUCUGGUUAUUUGCGAAGAUUCUAAUGAUUAAAAGGGAGAAGUGAUGAAUUUCACAGAAUCCAAUACCCUUAUUUAUAGAUCUAGACUCGUUAAUAUGGAAGAAAGAGG